rnacentral:rRNA from 1 species
AUUGAACGCUGGCGGCAGGCCUAACCCAUGCAAGUCGAGCGGAUGAGGAGAGCUUGCUCUCUGAUUUAGCGGCGGACGGGUGAGUAAUGCCUAGGAAUCUGCCUGGUAGUGGGGGAUAACGUUCCGAAAGGAACGCUAAUACCGCAUACGUCCUACGGGAGAAAGCAGGGGACCUUCGGGCCUUGCGCUAUCAGAUGAGCCUAGGUCGGAUUAGGUAGUUGGUGAGGUAAUGGCUCACCAAGGCGACGAUCCGUAACUGGUCUGAGAGGAUGAUCAGUCACACUGGACCUGAGACACGGUCCAGACCCCUACGGGAGGCAGCAGUGGGGAAUAUUGGACAAUGGGCGAAAGCCUGAUCCAGCCAUGCCGCGUGUGUGAAGAAGGUCUUCGGAUUGUAAAGCACUUUAAGUUGGGAGGAAGGGUUGUAGAUUAAUACUCUGCAAUUUUGACGUUACCAACAGAAUAAGCACCGGCUAACUUCGUGCCAGCCGCCGCCGUAAAAC